rnacentral:rRNA from 1 species
CAGCCGCCGCGGUAAUACGAAGGGUGCAAGCGUUACUCGGAAUUACUGGGCGUAAAGCGUGCGUAGGUGGUGGUUUAAGUCCGUUGUGAAAGCCCUGGGCUCAACCUGGGAAUUGCAGUGGAUACUGGGUCACUAGAGUGUGUCAGAGGAUGGUGGAAUUCCCGGUGUAGCGGUGAAAUGCGUAGAGAUCGGGAGGAACAUCAGUGGCGAAGGCGGCCAUCUGGGACAACACUGACGCUGAGGCACGAAAGCGUGGGGAGCAAACAGGAUUAGAUACCCCCGUAGUCCCUGUCUCUUAUAC